CAAUAGCGUAUAUUUAAGUUGUUGCAGUUAAAAAGCUCGUAGUUGGAUUUCGGAUGGGACUUGCCGGUCCGUCGUUUCGAUGUGCACUGGCCAGUCCUAUCUUGUUGUCGGGGACUAGCUCCUGGGCUUCACUGUCCGGGACUAGGAGCUGACGAGGUUACUUUGAGUAAAUUAGAGUGUUCAAAGCAAGCCUACGCUCUGAAUACAUUAGCAUGGAAUAACACGAUAGGACUCUGGCUUAUCUUGUUGGUCUGUGAGACCAGAGUAAUGAUUAAGAGGGACAGUCGGGGGCAUUCGUAUUUCAUUGUCAGAGGUGAAAUUCUUGGAUUUAUGAAAGACGAACUUCUGCGAAAGCAUCUGUCAAGGAUGUUUUCAUUAA
rnacentral:rRNA from 1 species